rnacentral:misc_RNA from 1 species
GGGUUUUAUGUUACAUUUUAAAGUCAAAGGACUGUAGUGUUACAACCGUAUAAGUUUAAGGAUAGUUGUUGAAAUUUAUCCAUUACAACUAACAUUAAGAGGGAAGAAGAACAGAAACGAUAAAUAGAAGAAAACAUAAAGCUGCAAACAGAGACCAAAAAAAAUAAAUUUAUCAUUCUGCAACUUAAAAAUUUAAUGAAAUAUAUAUAAAUGUCUUCUAUUUAUUUCAUGGAAAGCAUGAAGCACACAAUUAUUGUGUUCACAACCUCAACACAGACAAUCGUCAAUAUAAACCAAAAACCUAACUAUACUAAUCCUGCUUCUUUCUCUGUUAAAAUUAUUGUCUUAAGUUUUGCAUUAGUAUUAUGUCACCAUUAUAACAACUUUCCAAUCUGAUGCAACAUGAUUAAAAGCUAAGCAAACUAAUAAAUCGAACAUGACCUAUGUAAAAGUAGGU